AACGAACGCUGGCGGCAUGCCUAACACAUGCAAGUCGAACGAAACCUUCCGGUCUUUUGGCGCACGUGUGCUUACCGCCUGGUAACCUGCCCUUAGGUUCGGAAUCCCUCCCCUUACGGUGUCCUCAUACCGGUUAAUGUCUUCCGACCUAAGAUUUCUCGCCUGUGGAUGGGCCCGCGUUGGAUUCGCGAGUUGGUAGGGUACAAGCCUACCAAGGCGAGGAUGCAUAGCUGGUCGGAGAGGAUGAUCAGGGAGACUGGGGCUGAGACACGGACCAGACUGCGACGGGAGGGAGGAGAGGGGAAUAGUGGAGAAGGGGCGAAAGCCUGAUACAGCAAUGCCGCGGGAGUGAGGAAGGCCUUAGGGUAGUAAAGCUGUUUGACACGGGAUGAGAAUGACAGUAACGGGAGAAGAAGCACCGGCUAACUACGUG
rnacentral:rRNA from 1 species